rnacentral:lncRNA from 1 species
UUGGGGCCGCGAGUCGCGCAGCAAGGAGGCUUCUGGCUUCUCUAUUUUUAGCCUCUGAACGUUUUCCAAAAUAAUUACCAAAAGGAAAUACACACGCACACAUGGACCUAACACACAAAACGUCCUUCUGCGGGAAGCCAGCACUAGGAAAGAAAAAAAAAAAAAUCCGAAGUGAAAUUAUGACACAGGGUUUUGUAACCCGCGGUGGCGCGCUUCUGAAACCCGAGCCCGGCAGCGGCUUCUUAUCUGCACCGCGUUCCAGGAAGCAGCCGGCGUUUCGGCCGCGCAAGGGCAGCCGCCGCACGUAGGCAGCGUCCCCCAGCCCGGGACCCGCAGGAAUGCGAGGGGCAAGACAGAUCGCCGGAGGAGCAGGGGUCAGAAGUCAGUGUUUAACCACUCACUGGCUUUCGGUGAAGCCAGAAUGUUAGCAGCGAGUCGCGGUCGGGGGCCUUGGGGUUGCACACGCUUGCUCCAAGCACCGAGGCUCAGCUGAGCACAUGCACAACCCUCUCGAUGCAGCGGAAAGUCGUGUGGCUUAGGGCCGCACCCCGAAUUUCGCCGCACCCGCCGCUGUGCCAUUUACAACCCCCCACCCCGCCACUGCUGUCACGUAGCAAUCAAGAGUAAAGGUUAUCACAAAGUCUGUUCUUCGAAGGAAAGAGUUGGAAUCAAGGACUUCGGACGGGAGGAAGUUGUUUGGGGCUGAGAGCCAAUGAAGUUUCCUUUCGUCUAAGCUACUUUGGUUGACUUUCUGCCAUCACAAUACAGUCUUCGUGCACCCAGUAUUUCAGACUGCACUCAACUGCUAAGAUUCAAACUUCAACAAAAUGCAGAAUUUUAGUUGUUUACCUUUUUAGUUACAUGGACUCAAAAACAAGCAUCACCAUAACUUUCCACUGUGUGUGACAAUAUAAGAGUCAUAUCUUUGUGGCUCCAAAAAUGUUUAAAAAAGCAACUAGUAUAUUCAAUAUUUAGCUCAUAAGAGCUAAGCACUGUAAAAUACGUCUGACAUCUUCAACAUCAAACUAGAAUAAAGGUAAAAUUAAAAUAGGGUAGAAGAGUGUUCAUGCAUGAUCCAAUCUCACAUGAAACCCUAGUCCUAAAAAAAAGGCAACUCCCAAAUAGGUGUCUUGAUUUCACCCAGUGGCUUUAAAAUAGUUCUUAAUCAUGUAUGCAUUAAGAAGCCAAAACUCAUUGUUAUUUCUGAAGCACAUUAUUUUGAAAUUCUGUUUAAAUCUUCCAUAUUUGUAUGAUGAAAGUUAUGUCACAAAGUUAAUCAUUCCCAGGAUGCUUGCAGUAGGGGUAAUGAAAAACUUCUUGUGCAAGCGGCCAUUAAUCAGCAGUGUAACAUUGCAUAACGUGCUCCAAAGCACGUGUCAUGGGAUCAGAGUACACAGCUGCAUAAUGCAGGCCAGUGUCUGUGCCUCCUGCUGACCUUUUCCAAUGCAGAACUCGAACCAUGUGAUGCAUGCUUCUUGCCAAGUCACUUAUUGCCAAUGAUUAAGUUGGAUGAUAUGGAGAAACAUAAAUUUCUUUCUUUCUUUUUUUUUUUUGGAGUUCUAAAAGGAAGACUCUUUGAAGUCCCUGGCUUCUGGCACAGUGUUGUUGCUGGCUUGGUUAUAUUACUCUUGAUCAUUAUAAAAACUCUCCAUUAAAACUGAUAUCAAAUAUUUUGCUCAAGUGGUUCCUGGCAUUUGCAUUAGAAACAAUAGACAUACCCCCACAAGAAGAGUAUUUUAUAUGUAAGCAACGCAAAAAGUCAAAGACGCUAGAAGCCAAAGACAUACAUAUAUCAAAUCCCAAUCCAUCACGUUUGAUGUUCUUGAGCAAUACUGUUAGCGAGAAACUAUUACUUAAUCUUGCUAGUAUUAUCCAAAGAGAACACUUGCGAAAUACUUAAGACAAACAUGCUGUAAUUAUUACAUGAAUAAAGAGCUUGUGUAGCAUAAACUGUUUUUGUAACAUCAACACAAAUUCUGUUGGAGCAGGCUAAUAAUUAGCCGUGGUAACAACAAUGGCCACUGUGUUUGAGAAGCUCUGAGAGGUAACAGUGCUGCCGGAGGUGAGAUGACUCACGCGUUAUCUUCUACCCUCAAAGUAGCCUUGGUGUAGAGGGACUGUUUUCAAUAAUAUCUUAACCUAGAAAGUCUUCUGAAAUUUCACCAAGGGCUAAUUAUACAUUCUAGUACCAACUAGAAUAUAUCUGGUUCCCUAACAUAUAUUGGAAAUUAAAUUUCAUCUUCAUUUUACUUUUUUUUUUUAAGGAAAGGACUCUUCGAUUUGAUUACUAGCAAACUCUUACUGUACAUGAAAUCCUGUUCAAGGUCUGAAAGCUCA